GAGUUUGAUCGUGGCUCAGAUUGAACGCUGGCGGCAUGCCUUACACAUGCAAGUCGAACGGCAGCAUGAUCUAGCUUGCUAGAUUGAUGGCGAGUGGCGAACGGGUGAGUAAUACAUCGGAACGUGCCCUGUAGUGGGGGAUAACUAGUCGAAAGAUUAGCUAAUACCGCAUACGACCUGAGGGUGAAAGUGGGGGACCGCAAGGCCUCAUGCUAUAGGAGCGGCCGAUGUCUGAUUAGCUAGUUGGUGGGGUAAAGGCCCACCAAGGCGACGAUCAGUAGCUGGUCUGAGAGGACGAUCAGCCACACUGGGACUGAGACACGGCCCAGACUCCUACGGGAGGCAGCAGUGGGGAAUUUUGGACAAUGGGCGAAAGCCUGAUCCAGCAAUGCCGCGUGUGUGAAGAAGGCCUCGGUUGUAAGU
rnacentral:rRNA from 1 species